GUGGGGAAUAUUGGACAAUGGGCGCAAGCCUGAUCCAGCCAUGCCGCGUGUGUGAAGAAGGCCUUUUGGUUGUAACGCACUUUAAGCGAGGAGGAGGCUCCUUUAGUUAAUACCUUGCUGUUUUGACGUUACCGACAGAAUAAGCACCGGCUAACUCUGUGCCAGCAGCCGCGGUAAUACAGAGGGUGCAAGCGUUAAUCGGAUUUACUGGGCGUAAAGCGCGCGUAGGUGGCCAAUUAAGUCAAAUGUGAAAUCCCCGAGCUUAACUUGGGAAUUGCAUUCGAUACUGGUUGGCUAGAGUAUGGGAGAGGAUGGUAGAAUUCCAGGUGUAGCGGUGAAAUGCGUAGAGAUCUGGAGGAAUAUCGAUGGCGAAGGCAGCCAUCUGGCCUAAUACUGACACUGAGGUGCGAAAGCAUGGGGAGCAAACAGGAUUAGAUACCCCUGUAGUCC
rnacentral:rRNA from 1 species